GUAGGCUGCAACUCGCCUCAUGAAGUCGGAAUCGCUAGUAAUCGCGGAUCAGCAUGCCGCGGUGAAUACGUUCCCGGGCCUUGUACACACCGCCCGUCACACCAUGAGAGUUUGUAACACCCAAAGCCGGUGGGGUAACCUUUUGGAGCCAGCCGUCUAAGGUGGGACAGAUGAUUGGGGUGAAGUCGUAACAAGGUACC
rnacentral:rRNA from 1 species